rnacentral:rRNA from 1 species
UACGUAGGUGACAAGCGUUGUCCGGAUUUACUGGGCGUAAAGAGCGCGCAGGCGGUCGAUCAAGUCGAGUGUGAAAGCCCCCGGCUCAACUGGGGAGGGUCAUUCGAUACUGAUCGACUCGAAGGCAGGAGAGGGUAGUGGAAUUCCCGGUGUAGUGGUGAAAUGCGUAGAUAUCGGGAGGAACACCAGUGGCGAAGGCGGUUGCCUGGAGCUUUGCUGACGCUGAGGCGCGAAAGCGUGGGGAGCGAUCCGG